CGAGCAACUCUUACCGAAGUCUCAAUGGUCAGCGGACUCAAAGGUCAAGAACAAAAUGGCGACGAUGGAGCAUUGGUCGAUUUCUCCUCUUUGUCGUCACGCUCAAUGAAAUCUGCCCAUCAAGUAUCUGAAUGUUGUAGAGUAAUAAUAACACCAAUAAUGUUCUUUUUUGCAUCCAAAGUAAUUACAUUUCCAUCUUAGUUUGGGCUAAUGUUUUGCUCGUGGAAACAGAAAGAAAGAUGGUGGGGUGGGAAUGGUCUCAUCAAUGAUUGUUUCUCUUAAUAGCGAGCAAGAGUUACAGUAUACAGCAAGGAGAGACUCGUCACAUCAUUGACUUGGAAUGAAAUAGACCAUCGUCAGAAACGGAGCUAAUGCAGUCACUUUAACUGGAGCUUCUCUUGGGCAGAAAGAGAAUUAAGCCGGGAAUGGAAUCAUUCAUAGGUAAAAAUCU